ensembl:misc_RNA
CAGAGCCCGCCAGCUGCUCAGCCGGGGCCACACCUGGGGGUGACUCCAUGCCUCACCCCCAGUAGGCACCUUGGCCUCUUUGGGCUCCUUGUGGCUCUCUUGCACUAACUCUUGCUAAUCCCUGCCUCGCCCUGGCUGUCCUGAGAGCUGACCCCACUAACAGCCAACCCUGCCCACCUGCGGGCUCCAGGCUCCCAAGCCUGGCUUUGACCGGCUCGGAAUUAACCUCUCUUCCCUCUUGACUAACUAAUGGCUUCCUGGUCUGUUCCCUUCAGCAGAAACUAAUGGCUUGUGGAUUUCUUUCUGACUAACCUCAGAUCUCUAGCACUGCUCGGUACCAUGACAAUUAACAGCUUGGAUGUCCGCAUGGCUGGG